GGAAUUAGUACCUUGCGAAGGUCAUUUGUUUCAACCACAGGGUAAUUGUAGGUGUCCUUUUGUUUGCAGUUCCCUAAACUUUGGUGCCCUGGGUGGGCUUAUGGCUCACGAAAUGCUCCAUGCCUUCGACGCAAGCGCUAUGAGAAAAAUAAAGGGCCCAUCAAGUAUAGAACUGGAUCCUAACGCUACAGCUGCGUUUGAAGACAAAAUUAAGUGUUUUUUCAGCCAAUACAAAAACGCCACCAAAACGCUGUGGAAGAAUAUCAACGCCACGCACUUUGAGGACUCCCAGGAAGAUUUUGACAAAAACGUAAGUAAA
rnacentral:lncRNA from 1 species